AGAGUUUGAUCCUGGCUCAGAACGAACGCUGGCGGCGCGUCUUAAGCAUGCAAGUCGAACGGCAAGAGAGGAGCUUGCUUCUCUCCUAGAGUGGCGGACUGGUGAGGAACACGUGGGUAAUCUACCCUUAAGAUGGGGAUAGCUGCUAGAAAUAGCAGGUAAUACCGAAUAGUCUCAAUGGUUCAUAAGAAGUAUUGAGGAAAGGAAGCUACGGCUUCGCUUGAGGAUGAGCUUGCGUCCCAUUAGCUAGUUGGUGAGGUAAAGGCCCACCAAGGCGACGAUGGGUAUCCGGCCUGAGAGGGUGAACGGACACAUUGGGACUGAGAUACGGCCCAAACUCCUACGGGAGGCAGCAGCUAAGAAUAUUCCGCAAUGGACGGAAGUCUGACGGAGCGACGCCGCGUGGAUGAAGAAGGCUGAAAAGUUGUAAAAUCCUUUUGUUGAUGAAGAAUAAGGGUGAGAGGGAAUGCUCAUCUGAUGACGGUAAUCGGCGAAUAAGCCCCGGCUAAUUACGUGCCAGCAGCCGCGGUAACACGUAAGGGGCGAGCGUUGUUCGGAAUUAUUGGGCGUAAAGGGCAUGUAGGCGGUUAUGUAAGCCUGGUGUGAAAUCCUGGGGCUUAACCCUAGAAUAGCAUUGGGUACUGUAUAACUUGAAUUACGGAAGGGAAACUGGAAUUCCAAGUGUAGGGGUGGAAUCUGUAGAUAUUUGGAAGAACACCGGUGGCGAAGGCGGGUUUCUGGCCGAUAAUUGACGCUGAGAUGCGAAAGUGUGGGGAUCGAACAGGAUUAGAUACCCUGGUAGUCCACACCGUAAACGAUGUACACUAGGUGUUGGGGCAAGAGCUUCAGUGCCAAAGCAAACGCGAUAAGUGUACCGCCUGGGGAGUAUGCCCGCAAGGGUGAAACUCA
rnacentral:rRNA from 1 species